rnacentral:rRNA from 1 species
CGCAAGUUGCGCCCAAAGCCUUUAGGCUGAGGGCACGUCUGCCUGGGCGUCA